GUGAUGUAUGUACAUCACACUCUGGUUGAACGUUUAUUCAAUGAUGAAAAUGUUCCCUUUCUCCUCUACUUUCGUGCACAGGUUCCGUGGGUUGGCAGACUCCUCAGCACAAGUUACUCAUUGGCAGUGAGAAGAGUUCUGACGUCUGUUUCCCAUAUUCUCUCUAUCGAGAAGAAGCUUCACGGAAACCAAAUUGUCUCUAGAAGAUCCCUUGGUGAGUGUUCUCCAAAAUAUCACACCUGCCAUGCGGAAGAAUGGGGAAACUCCACACCCUCAUUUCCAGUUAGUUCUCAUCAAUAUGAAAUCAGGCUGCGCUUCAGGUUACUCAAGGCCACCUAAUGUCUGAACGUGGAACAGUGGACACCCGCUGCCUCAGACUCUGUGAGCCAAAGGGGACCUCAGAGCACAUCCUGGUUGACCAGCUUCUCCCAUCCCCCACACCUGUUUGGAAGUUGGAGAAAUAAGAUAGAGAGGGUUUGGGACUGAAUUGUGUGUCCCCUGCUCCCUUCCCUUCCCCCCAAAAAACAUUUAUGGAAGCCCACGCUGAAGCCCCGCACUUGUGAAUGCAAACUUACUUGGAAAGAGGGUCUUUGCAGAUGUAAGCAAGCUUCAGAUGAGGUCAUUACGGUGGCCCUAAGCCAACACAACUGCUGUCCUUGCUGGAGGAAGAGAGAUUCUGGGAUGGACACACGAGAGGGGAACACUCUGUGACGGCUGGAGGGAGAGAUUGAAAUGCUGCAGCUGCAGGCUGAGGAGCGCCAAGGGCUGCUGGCAACAACGCAGAACCAAGCAGGAGGUGAGGAAGAAUGCUCCCCUACAGGGACAGAGGGGGCCUGACCCUGCCCGAGACCUUGAUGUUGGAUUUCAGCCUCCAGAACUGUGAGACAAUAUGUUUCCGUUGUUUUAAACCACGUGAUUUGCUACGGCCAUCCUAGGAAGUAGAUACAGAGACAGAGGCAAACUGGUUACGGCCAUCCUAGGAAGUGGAUACAGAGACAGAGGCAAACUGCCUAUGAUCACAGGGUGGGUGAGGGAUGAGGACACCUCUGAACACAGCCCCUGUGAUGCCCCCUCCAGAGUCGGGCCCGUUGUCCUGGGCUUCAGUCCUCCAAGGCAUCACACCGAGGUUGUGGGCAUGUGUGUUUUCUUCCAUCUUGUUUUUGUUCCAAAUUUCUAUAAUAAUUUCCCUCAAGUAGACUUUCCCUGUCUCCCCCUUUUUGGUCUCAAUAACUUUGAAACAGGUAAGUUAAAAGAAUAAAACAACACAUACUCAUAUUCUCUUCA
rnacentral:lncRNA from 1 species